AGAUCUCGCGGCCUAUCAGCUUGUUGGUGAGGUAAUGGCCCACCAAGGCGACGACGGGUAGCCGGCCUGAGAGGGUGACCGGCCACACUGGGACUGAGACACGGCCCAGACUCCUACGGGAGGCAGCAGUGGGGAAUAUUGCACAAUGGGCGCAAGCCUGAUGCAGCAACGCCGCGUGAGGGACGACGGCCUUCGGGUUGUAAACCUCUUUUAGUAGGGACGAAGCGAAAGUGACGGUACCUGCAGAAAAAGCACCGGCUAACUACGUGCCAGCAGCCGCGGUAAUACGUAGGGUGCAAGCGCUAUCCGGAAUUAUUGGGCGUAAAGAGCUCGUAGGCGGUUUGUCACGUCUGCUGUGAAAACUGGAGGCUCAACCUCCAGCCUGCAGUGGGUACGGGCAGACUAGAGUGCGGUAGGGGAGAUUGGAAUUCCUGGUGUAGCGGUGGAAUGCGCAGAUAUCAGGAGGAACACCGAUGGCGAAGGCAGAUCUCUGGGCCGUAACUGACGCUGAGGAGCGAAAGCAUGGGGAGCGAACAGGAUUAGAUACCCUGGUAGUCCAUGCCGUAAACGUUGGGAACUAGAUGUAGGGACCAUUCCACGGUUUCUGUGUCGCGGCUAACGCAUUAAGUUCCCCGCCUGGGGAGUACGGAAGCUUGGAAUUC
rnacentral:rRNA from 1 species